UUGAUCAUUUUCCCCUCUUUCAUAGCGCUUUAAUUGCUCAAAUACUCUGCUAUUUGAAAACAAUGCAAGCAUGGUCAUCAUCGCCUCCACCUCCAAUUCUCCAUUAAUUUCCUUCGCCUUCACUCUCGCCUUCUUCCUCCUCAUCAAUCCUUCCUCUUCUUCGGGCAACUUCGUGGCGGAGGAGAAGGCUCGAUUGGGAUCGACGCCGCCGAGCUGCCAAAACCGGUGCAAUUUGUGCCACCCGUGCAUGGCGGUGCAGGUGCCGACCACGCCGAGCCGCGGCCGAGCCUUUCCGAGUCGGAUCGGCGGCGAAUCGGUCGCCGAUGAAAACAGGUACUCCAAUUACAAGCCGCUGGGAUGGAAGUGCAGAUGCCAAGGCCAUUUGUAUAACCCCUAACUAAUUAAUUAAUUAAUUAUGAUUAAUUAAUCACAAGCGAUAUUUCUAAUUAGCCUAAUUUGAUUUUUGGUCGAUAAUGUAAGUGUAUAUUUUCAUAUUUUGUGUAAUUGCUUGUUUAUUUAACUGAUAAUUUUAAUUAGGUGGAAUAUAUAUAAAUUAUUGGUUAUGGGUCCCUGGCAUUUAGUACAGAUUGUACAGAAAUAAUUUCUGAUUAUAUUCAGACUGACUGGGGUUGUUGCUUUUAUAACUGAUGGCAAUAAAUUCUCUUUUUCGAUCUCUGCAA